rnacentral:miRNA from 1 species
UCGCCAGCUGUUUUCGGACUACAAUUCCCAUCAUCCCAGACCCCUGUUCCUGCUAGCUAGGGAUGAUGGGAGUUGUAGUCCAAAAACAGCUGGAGA